rnacentral:tmRNA from 1 species
GGGGCUGCAUUGAUUCGACAGAAUAUGGUUUUUAUUAGAUGCAAGUAGUAGGCGUACUUAAAACGUAAAAAUAAAAUAGUCGGAAACGAUUACAAUUUUGCACCUUCUUUUGCCUAAUUUAGGAUAGAAGGUCUUCCUCUUUAAUCUUUGUUCACGGGAUUUUAGUAGGGAGUUACUUAGUGAACUAUAUUAUAAAUAUGUCUAUGAUUUAUGAUGAAUGAUUAAUAGACUUUGAAUAAUAAGAGAAGUUGGCAAUCUACAUUAUUAUUUGAGUAUAAAAACCAACUAAACUUGUAGAAUUCUUCUAGAAAUCUAUUUUGGACAGGAGUUCAUUACUCCUCAGCUCCACCA